rnacentral:rRNA from 1 species
AGUGAACGCUGGCGGUAGGCCUAACACAUGCAAGUCGAACGGCAGCACAGUAAGAGCUUGCUCUUACGGGUGGCGAGUGGCGGACGGGUGAGGAAUACAUCGGAAUCUACUUUUUCGGGGGGGAUAACGUAGGGAAAAUUACGCUAGUACCGCAUACGACCUUGGGGUGAAAGCAGGGGAUCUUCGGACCUUGCGGGAUUGAAUGCUCGGAUGUCGGAUUAGCUAGUGGGCGGGGUAAAGGCCCACCAAGGCGACGAUCCGUAGCUGGUCGGAGAGGAUGAUCAGCCACACUGGAACUUGGACACGGUCCAGACUCCUACGGGAGGCAGCAGUGGGGAAUAUUGGACAAUAGGCGCAAGCCUGAUCCAGCCAUACCGCGUGGGUGAAGAAGGCCUUCGGGUUGUAAAGCCCUUUUGUUGGGAAAGAAAAGCAGCAGGUUAAUACCCCGCUGUUCUGACGGUACCCAAAGAAUAAGCACCGGCUAACUUCGUG